rnacentral:rRNA from 1 species
UUCGGGAAGUGCAUAAAGUGGCGCACGGGUGAGUAACACGUAAGUAAUCUACCCUCGAGUGGGGAAUAACGUUCGGAAACGAACGCUAAUACCGCAUAAUGCAGCGGCAUCGCAAGAUGACAGUUGUUAAAGGAGUAAUUCGCUUGAGGAGGAGCUUGCGGCAGAUUAGCUAGUUGGUAAGGUAACGGCUUACCAAGGCUACGAUCUGUAUCCGGUCUAAGAGGACGGUCGGACACACUGACACUGAAUAACGGGUCAGACUCCUACGGGAGGCAGCAGUCGGGAAUUUUGGGCAAUGGGCGAAAGCCUGACCCAGCAACGCCGCGUGAAGGAUGAAGUAUUUCGGUAUGUAAACUUCGAAAGAAUGGGAAGAAUAAAUGACGGUACCAUUUAUAAGCUCCGGCUAACUACGUGCCAUCAGCCGCGGUAAUACGUAGGGAGGCAAGCGUUGUUCGGAUUUACUGGGCGUAAAGGGCGCGUAGGCGGCGCGGUAAGUCACUUGUGAAAUCUCUGAGCUUACCUCAGAACGGG